GGCCUAACCUUAGGGAAGGAUGCUCCGNGGUGUGGUUAGCGANGGGGUGAAGUCGUAACAAGGUAUCCGUACGGGAACGUGCGGAUGGAUCACCUCCUU
rnacentral:rRNA from 1 species